UACGGGGGGGCAAGCGUUGUUCGGAAUUACUGGGCGUAAAGUGCUUGUAGGUGGCCAACUAAGUCAGACGUGAAAUCCCUCAGCUUAACUGGGGAACUGCGUCUGAUACUGGAUGGCUUGAGUUUGGGAGAGGGAUGCGGAAUUCCAGGUGUAGCGGUGAAAUGCGUAGAUAUCUGGAGGAACACCGGUGGCGAAGGCGGCAUCCUGGACCAACACUGACACUGAGGAGCGAAAGCCAGGGGAGCAAACGGG
rnacentral:rRNA from 1 species